GAUUAUGACCGCCAUUGCUUUUUACCUGUAUCGCGUGUGUGUAUAUCGGGAUGUGUGAAUUGAUGUAAUUAUCUGUACGCUACCUGUGUCUGGGUGUUUACAAACCUAAUGAGGAGCAUGUUUUGAUAGUAAUUAAUCGGGAAGUAUCGGGAUGAACAGCAAAAUGCCACACUUAAAGUUUUUACACAAACUUCGACAAGAAUGGGGUUACACCACCAAAGAAAACGAAACUUUUAUCCCAAUAUCGGGAGGCAGAUUCCCGAUUUUCGGGAUGACUAUCGGGAUCGUAAUUGGAUGACAACCAUGUAUAUUGCCGUGUAAUAGGUAUGUUUAACCUAUAUAUAGUACAACUGAAUAUAUUUAUUGACAGUGUACAUUCUAUUGUGUACACAUGCCACUAGGCGAGAACAUUAUCUACAAGAAGAAUAGGUAUGUUAAACUUUAUGAGUAACAAUUUAUUUUUAUUUUGAGGGAUUUUAGGGUAGACAAUGGUGGAAUGAAUGAUGUUACAAAGAACACGAAAACAGCCAUCCAUCAAGCCACCUGCUGCUACCAACUUCUUUGUGAAAUCAAAAUUGGAGCAAGUUGAAGAUGUCACAAGAGCAGAGGUCCUGUUUGCCAACUGCAUUGCAGAACUUAGUGCUUUUUGAACUGCUAUACCAUUCUAUUUAUUGUUUGUUGAGAUUUUAAAGAUUGAUUUAAUAAAGGUUGAUUUAAUAUAUG
rnacentral:sRNA from 1 species